rnacentral:rRNA from 1 species
GACGAACGCUGGCGGCGUGCCUAAUACAUGCAAGUCGAGCGCAGGAAAUCGACGGAACCCUUCGGGGGGAAGUCGACGGAAUGAGCGGCGGACGGGUGAGUAACACGUAAAGAACCUGCCCUCAGGUCUGGGAUAACCACGAGAAAUCGGGGCUAAUACCGGAUGGGUCAUCGGACCGCAUGGUCCGAGGAUGAAAGGCGCUUCGGCGUCGCCUGGGGAUGGCUUUGCGCUGCAUUAGCUAGUUGGGGGGGUAAUGGCCCACCAAGGCGACGAUGCAUAGCCGGCCUGCGAGGGUGAUCGGCCACACUGGGACUGAGACACGGCCCAGACUCCUACGGGAGGCAGCAGUAGGGAAUCUUCCACAAUGGACGAAAGUCUGAUGGAGCAACGCCGCGUGAACGAUGAAGGCCUUCGGGUCGUAAAGUUCUGUUGUAAGGGAAGAACAAGUGCCGCAGGCAAUGGCGGCACCUUGACGGUACCUUGCGAGAAAGCCACGGCUAACUACGUGCCAGCCGCCGCAGUAA